GAUGAACGCUGGCGGCGUGCCUAACACAUGCAAGUCGAACGGAGUUAUUAUUAUGAAGUUUUCGGAUGGAUUAAUAAUAACUUAGUGGCAGACGGGUGAGUAACGCGUGGGUAACCUGCCUCAUACAGGGGGAUAACAGUUGGAAACGACUGCUAAAACCGCAUAACAUUGCGAUGUCGCAUGACAAUGCAAUUAAAUAUUUAUAGGUAUGAGAUGGGCCCGCGUCUGAUUAGCUAGUUGGUGGGGUAAUGGCCUACCAAGGCGACGAUCAGUAGCCGGCUUGGGAGAGUGACCGGCUACAUUGGGACUGAGACACGGCCCAAACUCCUACGGGAGGCAGCAGUAGGGAAUAUUGCACAAUGGGGGAAACCCUGAUGCAGCGACGCCGCGUGAGUGAAGAAGUAUUUCGGUAUGUAAAGCUCUAUCAGCAGGGAAGAAAAUGACGGUACCUGAAUAAGAAGCCCCGGCUAACUACGUGCCAGCCGCCGCCGUAA
rnacentral:rRNA from 1 species